rnacentral:tRNA from 1 species
UGGCUCAGUGGUUAAGAGCACUGGCAGCUUGCUCUUCCAGAGGUCCUGAGUUCAAUUCUCAG